rnacentral:lncRNA from 1 species
AGAGCCACACCUGAGGCAUAUGGAGGUUUCCAGGCAAGGGGUCAAAUUAGAGUUGUAGCUUCUGGUCUACACCACAGCCACAGCAAUGCGGGAUCCAAGCCAUGUCUGCGACCUAUACCACAGCUCAUGGCAACCCCAAAUCCUUAACCCACUGAGCAAGGCCAGGGAUCAAACCUGCAUCCUCAUGGAUGCUAGUCAGAUUCGUUUCCAUUGAGCCAUAAUGGGGAUUCAGGGACUGAUUUUUUAAAUCCCUAGUGUCCGUGUUAGCAGAAAGACAAAUAUUAUUCCACAUAGCCUUGCCUACUCCAAGUCUCUGUACCCCUCUACUGCUUUCUCAUGUAUGGUCUGUACUUAGAUUGUGUCUUAUCUAUAAAAUUAGAUCAUUCCAUAUGACAGCAGACCAAUCAGAUUGACCAAAACCUUUGGAUGCUGAACCUCAGGGGGCAGCUCCACACUAGAUCCAUUUGUUUAGCUCCAGGCCCACUGAUUCAGUUUCCCCCUCCCCAUGUUUUCCAGCAGUGCCAGCAUUUUAAUGGUUCCAGCAUACCUUGUAGCCAAGCACCCAUGUUGAGUUAGGUUGGAUUUCUAUGCAUCAAACCACAAAGAGAGAAUCUCGUGUUUCAGAUAGUAGAGGUAUAUCAGAAAAGUUGGUCAGAAGUAUCUGUGGAGAGAAUUCCAAAUAUCAGUCAACAAGGAUACAUUAAACACAUGCCAGUGUUAACAGUGAUAUACUAUGUUCCAGGUACUUACUCCUUCAUGUACACAACAGUCAUAUACCAUAUCAUAAUUGCAUUUUAAGGUGAGGAAAUGUCAGAAGUUACACAGAUGUAUUUUAUGCAUUGAGGAUUUGAACACAAGUCUCUCUGAUUCCAAAUUCCCUAAUUCUACUGCACCGUUUUGUCUACUUGUGAAACAACAUCCUAAAUUGCAGUGCCCUGUGAGUUCCUUCCUUCUUUGAGGCAUGCUCCAUGUUCCAGAAUCAUCCUGCUACCAGUUACAACAUCUUUCAUUAAAAAAUCUAUCACCUUAGCAUUCCUGUGGUAAGAAUCUCUUGUUUUGCUAAUGCAGAGACUGAGUCUCUGAGAUUUCUUUAAGGAAAUGGGCUACUUAGUGAAAGAAUCAAAAUGAAGGCCUGUAUCCUGAAUCCUGUUCAGAAUUUUUCCUGUUGAUCCUAAAAUUUCCCUGUUCAUUUAUUAAGGAUUCUUUAAGAAAGGUUGUCAUGCAACAUGGAUGGACUUAGAAGUUAUUAUGCUGAGUGAAAUAAGUCAAAGACGAAUACCAUAUGAUUUCACUCAUAUGUGGAAUCCAAAACAUUUAAAAAAAUGAACAAACAUAACCAAAUAGAAACAGUCAUAGAACGAACUGGUAGUGGCCAGAGACAAAGGCAAUGGAGGGGAAUAAAGAGAAAUGGGUGAGAGAGAUCAAGAGGUACAAGCUUCCAGUUAAAAAGUAAAUAGAUCAUGGGAAUGUAAUGGAGUACACAGGAAUAUAGACAAUAAUACUGUAAUAACUCCAUAUGGUAAAAGAUGGUAACUAGACUUAUCAUGGUGAUAAUUUGUAAUGUCUAAAAAUAUCGAAUCCCUAUGUUGUACACCUGAAACUAACAUAAUAUUAAAGUCAAUUGUAUUUCAAUAAAAAGAGAAAGUUAACAUAUAAAUUAAUGUGGUAAAUAAAGAGGAUUGCCAGUGACUUUUGCUUGGUAAAGACUGUCAGGAACAUCUGCAUUUAAGACAUGAAAAGUCUCUGGUUAGGGCAGAUUGGACACAACUUUUUUUUUCUUACCUCAUUUUACAAAAAAACAAUAGAUUUUUAAAAGGCAUAAACCUAUGAGCACAAAAAGAACAGAAAAAGGAAACAAUGGUGGACAUGAGAUUUUAGUAGAUGUUUAGAAGACGGAAAGCAGAUGGCUGGGAGAGUGGCAAAAACCUAAGUGCUUUCAGAAUGGGUUACCAACCGCAAGCAUGGGAAUUCGCCUUGAAAAACGUUACAGUGAUUCUGGAAUAGAGGCACUAGGGACUGUGUUGGUUUAGAAUGAAGUACAGGCUGAAUCCUAGAGAUCUGACUGAAGUGUCCCAACAGGAGGAUAGCCAGAGCCCCUGUUUUCCACCCCUGAUCUUUGAAGCUAGAUGAAUAUGUCUGCCCAGUUCAGCAGGAGAUGGGGGUUUACCCUGGAGAAAUUGACCGGAGAGCCCCUUGACUUAGAGAGAUUAGGUGGUGGUGAGACCCCAGGCUAAAAAUAGGGAAAUUAGGUAAAAAUCUGAAUACUGAAAAGUGAAAUUUCAAGCUCACUUUCCGGAUUCGCUUCUAGCAUCUUGUGAAAAUCUCUGACAUCACCAGUUCUUUCAGGCAGAGACAGACUUUUCUGGAAAAACUAGACAGCUUCAUGGAAAAGGCUUAAAGGUUCUUACAUUUUGGGAUUCUUCAAAGAAAAAUCAGCUUUCCGUAGGAUCUCACAGAGAAUGAAGUCCACCAUUUGGCAAGUUUCACUUCUAAUCCAGAGCUUCCAGUUGGUUUUAAAAUGCCUUGCUUUUAAAGAAGAUCAGACAGCCAGUGGUGAGCAAGCAUUAUUUGAAAACAUACAACUUGGAAAAUAGAAAAUAAGACAGAAGAUAACAAAUAGGGAAAAAAGGAAAACCGAAUUGUGAAAGACAUAUGGAAGACUAAAAGCAAAUUUCUACAUUAAACUCCUACAAAUUAAAUGAAAAGAUAAAGCUUUGUCUUUUUGAGCUCAGCCUAAUGGAAGAGUCAAGUAAACAUACAGAUGAGCAAUUUAUAGGACAAACAUAAAAAUUGCCUACAAAUGAAAGAAUGAUCAACCUCUAAUAGUGAUUAGAAAAUACUAAGACAACAAAAAUGCUUAUUAAGACAGGUAUUUAAAAAAAAUUUAGACUGGCAAAAAUUUCGUUAAAUGGAUAAUGUCUAAUGUUAAAACGAAGGGGGAGGAAUUGCUCUUUUCUAUGUAAUAUUGGUCAGAGUAUAAUUUGGUAUAGUAUUUUGGGGGAAAAUUUAGCACUGUUUUUAUAACACUUAAAAAUAAUUUUAAAUUAUGCAUACCCGUGGUCUUAACGACUUCACUUCUAGGAACCAUCCAUCAGAGAUAUUCGCAUAAGUACACAAGCCAUAAAUACAAGGGUGUUCAUGGAUGGCUAUUGCAGUAGGGAAAAAUUGGAAACAACCUAAAUCUGCAUCAGUGGAAGAAAUUGUGAAAUUUUGAAUAUGCUAAAUUAAUUUAGCAGCAUAGAAUUAACAGCUUAUUCUUCCUGUUAAAAGAAUAAGAAAUAUUCAUAUGAUUUAUGGACAAAUCCCCACAAUAUAUUAUUAAAUGAAAAAAUUAUGUUAAGGAAAUGUGUGUGUAGUAUAAGAACAUUUUGUCAAAAGAAAAAACAGUGCUUAAUUUAUAUUUAAAUGCACAUACAUUUCGCACAGACAAAAAAUUGGAGAAAUUACGUUACUAUUAAGUCGGAUGGAAGCUAUGUUCAUAGGAAAGAUAUAUAAUUUUCAUUAUCUCAGGUUUUUAAAAACUUUUUUAUAAGCAUAUACAAAUUGCUUACUAUUAAAACACCUAUGAUUCUUUCAGUUUUGAUCCCCAUGCACAACUAGUGUUGGGGUAUAGGUUAGAUCCAUGCCUGGCUCAAAGCAGUAAUCAAUGGUUAUUGUCUGAAAAAAUGAUUUCUAAGAGUUAUCACCAACUGUUUGUAAAUCAAUUAAACCUCGGCUUGUAAAACUAUCUUUUUAAAAAAAAAUCUUUCAUUGUAUAUUAUCUUCUAAAUAUUGCUUACUUAAUCUGGAUUCUUUGUGGCUUAUAGGAUCACUUUUAUGCUGAGUUUGGUCAUUACACCUACCUGUGUUUACAGUAUCAUUAAAACUAAGAGACUUAUAGGAGGGAAUGAAGCUUAAUUACUGCAGAACCAGCAGCAGGACAAGGGAAUUGUGUUUCCAAACCUCUGUGAGAUCUCCUUAAAGGUCUUUGAGGUUCAGAGACCUGUGGACGGGUGAUGAAUGGCAGGCCCUGGACUGCACUUGGCUGGAGUCUGAGCUCGGGAUGGGCAGGAAUUAAACAGUGCCUUCAGCAGUUGUCUGACACCAUUUCUGGCAGCAAACAAUUCCAGAAGGGGCCCAAGUGGCCUAUGAUUUUCCUUUUCAGCCCUGUCUUACAGCACCUGGAGCUGCAGCACUAGGAGGUGGUAAUUGAUGGCUUUGAUUUACUGAAGAAGAGUAAAGUGGGCUGUUAUCUAGUUCAGGGACAAGCCCUUGUGGAUAUGAAACUCUGCCCUCUAAGUAACAGGGGACUGUUGUAGAUCUUUAAACUGUCAUUUCUGCUGUGAACCAAGCCCCACCAAGUAUGGGCCUCUCUCCCUGUAUUCCUGUCCCUUUCUAGUCUGAGAAUAGCUUGAAAACUCACUGGACCUCUACCUCAGCCGGACACUGCCCCAGGGCACCCACUUGCUUCCUGUGGCUCUCUACAGCCUGAGAUUCCAUUUGUGCUGUCAUUUUGCAAUUUUCAUUAGUUGUAUUUUUUUUUUCAGAAGCAUCAAGUUUGCACAUCACAUUGAGUUUCCCAUUAGAACUCCAGAGGAAGGAAAGAAAGUGUAUGGAUACCAUAUGCUAAGCAGAGUGUUUCCUUUCCCAAAGCCUUUCACUGAACAGUCACCAUCACUUCCUAGGUGUGUGGUAUUUUGUGUGGUACAGAGAAUAUUUCUGAGGGCAUGGGCAAAGAUACUUACUGUGACUGCCAAAUUUUUGAAAAUCUUGUAAUUUAUAUUAUAAAAUUCUUAUGAACUUUGCGUUUUUGUUAUCUUUCCUUUCACUUUCUUUUCUUUUUUUUUUUUUUUUUGUAAGGUCUGCACCCACAGCAUAUGCAAGUUCCUAGGCUAGAGGUCAAAUCGAAGCUGUAGCUACCAGCCUACAGCCAUAGCAAUGCCAGAUUCAAGCCAUGUCUGUGACUUAUACUGCAGCUCAAGUCAACAUCAGAUCCUUAACCCACUGAGA